UAGCCUAGUGGUUAAGGCUAUGGAUCACCAAUUCGGAGACUGCGGGUUCGAUUCCCGU
rnacentral:tRNA from 1 species